AUUGAACGCUGGCGGCAGGCCUAACACAUGCAAGUCGAGCGGCAGCGGGAAAGUAGCUUGCUACUUUUGCCGGCGAGCGGCGGACGGGUGAGUAACGCCUGGGAAAUUGCCCAGUCGAGGGGGAUAACAGUUGGAAACGACUGCUAAUACCGCAUACGCCCUACGGGGGAAAGCAGGGGACCUUCGGGCCUUGCGCGAUUGGAUAUGCCCAGGUGGGAUUAGCUAGUUGGUGAGGUAAUGGCUCACCAAGGCGACGAUCCCUAGCUGGUCUGAGAGGAUGAUCAGCCACACUGGAACUGAGACACGGUCCAGACUCCUACGGGAGGCAGCAGUGGGGAAUAUUGCACAAUGGGGGAAACCCUGAUGCAGCCAUGCCGCGUGUGUGAAGAAGGCCUUCGGGUUGUAAAGCACUUUCAGCGAGGAGGAAAGGUUGGCGCCUAAUACGUGUCAACUGUGACGUUACUCGCAGAAGAAGCACCGGCUAACUCCGUGCCAGCCGCCGCGGUAAGAC
rnacentral:rRNA from 1 species